rnacentral:lncRNA from 1 species
AUGACAGCUGGCUUUUCUGCUGGAGCAACUGGAGCUAAGAUGUUUGCACCCACAAUUGUUUUUUCUGGCUCAAGUUCACUUAUAGCAAGAGUCUCUACAACUGCCAUGGCUCGUACUUUUGGGGAUGUUACAACUGCUGUCUGUACUUCUGACUCUGAUGGAGAAACUACAACAGCUGUGUCUACUUUCAGGGCCGUCUCAGCAGAUGUAUCCACUUCUGGCACAACUACAACUAGUGCUUCGACCACAAGAGCAUUUGCGACAACUGUUUUGACUUCUGGGGAAGCUACAAUGGCUGUCAGAACUUCUGGUACAGCUACAACAGUUGCUUGUACUGCUGGAGUAGCAGCAACCUCUGCGAUUACAGCAGGGACAGAAGCAACCUCUGUGAUUGCCACCAGGGCAGCUGCAGCCUCUGUGCUGGCCAUCGAGACAAUUGUCACUUCGGUGAUUGCCACAGGGGCAGUAGUCACUUGUGUGAUUGCCACAGGGGCAGGAGUAACUUCUGUGAUUGCCACAGGGGCAGGUGUCACUUGUGUGAUUACCACAGGGGCAGGAGUAACUUCUGUGAUUACUACAGGGGCAGGAGUAACUUCUGUGAUUGCCACAGGGGCAGUUGUCACUUGUGUGAUUACCACAGGGGCAGGAGUAACUUCUGUGAUUGCCACAGGGGCAGUUGUCACUUGUGUGAUUACCACAGGGGCAGGAGUAACUUCUGUGAUUACUACAGGGGCAGUUGUCACUUGUGUGAUUGCCACAGGGGCAGUAGUCACUUGUGUGAUUACCACAGGGGCAGGAGUAACUUCUGUGAUUGCCACAGGGGCAGGAGUAACUUCUGUGAUUGCCACCGGGGGAGUAGUCACUUGUGUGAUUGCCACAGGGGCAGAUGUCACUUGUGUGAUUACCACAGGGGCAGUAGUCACUUGUGUGAUUACCACAGGGGCAGGAGUAACUUCUGUGAUUACUACAGGCGCAGUAGUCACUUCUGUGAUUGCCACAGGGGCAGUAGUUACUUCUGUGAUUACCACAGGGGCAGGAGAAACCUCUGUGAUUACAACCUGGGCAGCAGUAACUUCUGUUAUUACCACUGGGGCAGCUACUGGGGCAGCAGCAACCUCAGCCCUUACCUCUGGUUCAGCAGUGACCUCUGCACUUUCCACUGGGGCAGCAGCGACCUCUACACUUACUACUGGGGCAGCAGCGACCUUUGCCCUUACCUCAAGUACAGCAGCAACCUCUGUGGUCACUUCAUGA